UCUAGGGUAGCCUAGUGGACAUGGCAUCUGCCCGGUAAGCGGAACACAGUGGGUUUGAUUCCCAUCCCUGGAC
rnacentral:tRNA from 1 species